UACGUAGGGUGCAAGCGUUGUCCGGAAUUAUUGGGCGUAAAGAGCUCGUAGGCGGUCUGUCGCGUCUGCUGUGAAAACUCAGGGCUUAACCCUGAGCUUGCAGUGGGUACGGGCAGACUAGAGUGCGGUAGGGGAGACUGGAAUUCCUGGUGUAGCGGUGAAAUGCGCAGAUAUCAGGAGGAACACCGGUGGCGAAGGCGGCAUCCUGGACCAACACUGACGCUGAGGAGCGAAAGCCAGGGGAGCAAACGGG
rnacentral:rRNA from 1 species